UAGGAAGUGGUGUAGCGGAAGCACUAAGAGUUUUGAUCUCUUAAGGUGGGGUUCAAAACCCC
rnacentral:tRNA from 1 species